GGUCUUAUAUUCAUUUGUAUGAUAUUGGAAUGCAAUUCUAAAGGAGUAAUUAUUUACUAAGACUU
rnacentral:tRNA from 1 species